GACGAACGCUGGCGGCGUGCUUAACACAUGCAAGUCGAACGGUAAGGCCCUUUCGGGGGUACACGAGUGGCGAACGGGUGAGUAACACGUGGGUGAUCUGCCCUGCACUUUGGGAUAAGCCUGGGAAACUGGGUCUAAUACCGGAUAGGACUACGCGAUGCAUGUCGUGUGGUGGAAAGCUUUUGCGGUGUGGGAUGGGCCCGCGGCCUAUCAGCUUGUUGGUGGGGUGAUGGCCUACCAAGGCGACGACGGGUAGCCGGCCUGAGAGGGUGUCCGGCCACACUGGGACUGAGAUACGGCCCAGACUCCUACGGGAGGCAGCAGUGGGGAAUAUUGCACAAUGGGCGCAAGCCUGAUGCAACGACGCCGCGUGGGGGAUGACGGCCUUCGGGUUGUAAACCCCUUUCAGCACAGACGAAGCGUAAGUGACGGUAUGUGCAGAAGAAGCACCGGCCAACUACGUG
rnacentral:rRNA from 1 species